UACGAAGGGGGCUAGCGUUGCUCGGAAUUACUGGGCGUAAAGGGCGCGUAGGCGGAUCGUUAAGUUAGAGGUGAAAGCCCAGGGCUCAACCUUGGAACUGCCUUUGAUACUGGCGAUCUGGAGUACGGGAGAGGUGUGUGGAACUCCGAGUGUAGAGGUGAAAUUCGUAGAUAUUCGGAAGAACACCAGUGGCGAAGGCGACACACUGGCCCGUUACUGACGCUGAGGCGCGAAAGCGUGGGGAGCAAACAGGAUUAGAUACCCUGGUAGUCCACGCCGUAAACGAUGAGUGCUAGUUGUCGGCAUGCAUGCAUGUCGGUGACGCAGCUAACGCAUUAAGCACUCCGCCUGGGGAGUACGGUCGCAAGAUUAAA
rnacentral:rRNA from 1 species